GAAGCCCCCCUGAUCUAUUCUGGAGACUUUGCUCUAUCCUGCACGUCAUCACCUGCAGCUAGUUCCAGGCUCCAAGCAUGAAUUGGUGGGAAUGGGCCUCCCCCCUCUUUUAUAAAGUGUGUCUGCCAUUAAACAUUUGAACCCUGAGUUGUUUUCUUGGUUCCAUUAUUUCUUGACCCGCCUAGGCUCCCUCUUUUCUUUCAGUUCCAAGAUGCCUUCAAGGCUCAAACCCGGACAUGAGAGCCCCAGGCCGGCCCCUACAAUUUGGUGCCCAAUGUGGCGCCUGGGAUAGGCAGAGGACAUUUGGAAGAAACACUGCUGGUUUAGAGCUCCUUGGAAGAAGUAAAGAAUUAAAGAAAAUUUGUACUGGAGAAGGUUGGUACAGGCUAAGCUGGAACAGUGCUAAAUCCACGUGCUAGAUUCACUUAGGAUCAGCAGUGAGUUAUCGGGAACUAAGAACUCAGUGGAAAGCUG
rnacentral:lncRNA from 1 species